rnacentral:rRNA from 1 species
CGGCGGCAUGCCUACACAUGCAAGUCGUACGGAGAGUGGGGCAACUCACUCUCAGUGGCAAACGGGUGAGUAACGCGUGAAUAACCUGCUUUGAGAAGGGGAUAACUGUCCGAAAGGAUAGCUGAUACCCUAUAUUGCCUUUUGUCACUAAGGCAAAAGGUGAAAGCGAGGCUGUCAAAGGCUUCGGCUCAAAGAGGGGUUCGCGUCCUAUCAGGUAGUUGGUGGGGUAAUGGCCUACCAAGCCAAUGACGGGUAGCUGGUCUUAGAGGAUGAUCAGCCACAGUGGGACUGAGACACGGCCCGCACCCCUACGGGGGGCAGCAGUGGGGAAUCGUGGGCAAUGGGCGCAAGCCUGACCCCGCAAUGCCGCGUGAGGGAAGAAGCCCUUCGGGGUGUAAACCUCUGUCAGAUGGGAAGAUGAGACUAGGGGCUAAUACCUCCUGGUCUUGACGGUACCAUCAGAGGAAGGGACGGCUAACUACGUGCCAGCAGCCGCGGUAAU